GACGAACGCUGGCGGCGUGCCUAACACAUGCAAGUCGAGCGAGAGACUUCGGUCUCUAGCGGCGGACGGGUGAGUAACACGUGGGUAACCUGCCUCAAACAGGGGGAUAGCCUCCCGAAAGGGAGAUUAAUACCGCAUAACAUCGCGCUAUCGCAUGAUAGUGUGAUCAAAGGAGUAAUCCGGUUUGAGAUGGGCCCGCGGCGCAUUAGCUAGUUGGUGGGGUAAAGGCCUACCAAGGCGACGAUGCGUAGCCGACCUGAGAGGGUGAUCGGCAACAUUGGGACUGAGACACGGCCCAGACUCCUACGGGAGGCAGCAGUGGGGAAUAUUGGACAAUGGGGGAAAGCCUGAUGCAGCAACGCCGCGUGAGUGAUGACGGCCUUCGGGUUGUAAAGCUCUGUCUUGAGGGACGAUAAUGACGGUACCUGAGGAGGAAGCCACGGCUAACUACGUGCCAGCCGCCGCGGUAACAC
rnacentral:rRNA from 1 species